rnacentral:rRNA from 1 species
UGGGGAAUUUUGGACAAUGGGGGCAACCCUGAUCCAGCAAUGCCGCGUGUGUGAAGAAGGCCUUCGGGUUGUAAAGCACUUUUGUCCGGAAAGAAAACGCCGUGGUUAAUACCCGUGGCGGAUGACGGUACCGGAGGAAUAAGCACCGGCUAACUACGUGCCAGCAGCCGCGGUAAUACGUAGGGUGCAAGCGUUAAUCGGAAUUACUGGGCGUAAAGCGUGCGCAGGCGGUCCGCUAAGACAGAUGUGAAAUCCCCCGGGCUUAACCUGGGAACUGCAUUUGUGACUGGCGGGCUAGAGUAUGGCAGAGGGGGGUAGAAUUCCACGUGUAGCAGUGAAAUGCGUAGAGAUGUGGAGGAAUACCGAUGGCGAAGGCAGCCCCCUGGGCCAAUACUGACGCUCAUGCACGAAAGCGUGGGGAGCAAACAGGAUUAGAUACCCUGGUAGUCCACGCCCU